rnacentral:ncRNA from 1 species
AUUGGAAUUGCGCGGCACGUAAUUGAUGAAAACGAAACCGCGGGUCUGGUCGAUGAUGUGGAACAGGGGAUUCCAGUCGAACAUCGACAGCAGGAAUGUCGGCAUCGUGUUGGCCACGAACAUCUUGCCCGAGGCGAUCAUGUUCACCCGCCG